rnacentral:lncRNA from 13 species
UCUGGUAGUAUUAAAUAAUAUAAUCAGUAAAUUCACCACUUAUAUCCAUAAAAAGUGAUCAUGAAUCAAUUUUUGUAUCAUACAGCCAGCUAUAGUCCUUGAGAUCAUUAAAGAUUUCCCACAUAUAUCUUAAAAUAAAGGAGAAUGAAAUAUUAUGGAAAGCUUUUCAAUGACCAAGAAAAAUACUGGAAUAUAUUACAGACUUUUUCAAGUGUACAGUUCUAUUGAUUUAAGCAACCUUUAAAAAAAGGACCCUAAGAGCAAUGAUGCACCAGCCCAAAUAGCAAUUCUAUAUUUACUCUGAAUUUCUCAUGUUUGCUUCUGAAAAUUCAUAACCCGAGGCAGAACUGAACACUGAAAGCAAAAAACCAAGCAUGUAAAAUCAAUUGAUAUUCUGACUUGCUCCUGGAACAUCUUUAUUUUCUAUAGCCACGUUCAACCGUGUUUUGUAUCUAUUUAUCACUGAACUCAUUGGGCAGAACAAAAAUUCGGCUAAUGUUAAUGUGUCAUGAAUAUGCACAGAAAGUGUUCUCUUUUGCCUAAAUAUCAACAUUUAUAACAGCUUCUUUGUUCUCCUGUGUUUAAUAGGAAUGGCAGAUAGUAGGUGCUGUGGGCUAAGACUCCCCAUUAACGCUGUUCUCUUGGGUAUUCUUGACAGUUAAUUUUGAGAGUCAGGAGAUUAAUGUAGAUCCUGUAUUUAGUUGUUACAUAUCAAACAUUUCUGAAACUGAGCAUGUCCUCUGAAACACCACACACCUUUUGAAAGCAGACUCUCAUUUUUAGGGAGAAACAUCAUCUGAUGGUGAAAAUUAAGCCUCAGAAAACCUGGCUGAUGUUCAGAGGAUGAGAUGGAAGCCUCAGUCUCUAUUCCAGAUCUGAAGCAGUCCAAUCUGAUGGCUUUGUGCAAAAGAUGGUCACUGAACCAGAUCUUCCUUGUACUUAAUCUCUUCGUAUGUACAGUGUAAGUUUUCCAUAAACAAAUUUUGUUUAUUUUACUGAGCAAAGGAACUACAUUGUCACAUUAAAUCCCACAUGAAAUUGCUUAUCUGAUCAGGAGCAAGCUGGCUGCUAAAGACAAUGGGCUUUGAGCAAAGCUCCCUGGAAAUUAUUUGCAUCGUCUAAGAAAAAUUAUUCACUACCAACAAAGAGACUCAGAAAAACAUGUCCUCAUGUUGCGAUUAUAUUGUUGUAGAUCUAUUCCAAAGCACCCAGUGCCAGGUGUUGCUGGUAUGCACUGUUCUUUUUUGUCCCUGAGGCAGAGGUGUACAUUGAAUUUGUAACUGCGGAACAUUUACACCUCCACUUCAAAUGUACCCCUGGACUCAUAUCCACAUAAGAUUAAUAGAGAGAAAUCACUGAGCUUUUACUGGAUUUUAGAACUCUUUUGAAAUCGCUUUGCAGUUAUCAGAUUUUUUCUGGUUUUUCUUCAGCCAAGUAUGUAGAUAAGAGCUUUUGCUAUUAGGGUCCAAAAAGAAAAUAUUUUUGACCGAGGUGACUAAAAGAAUCUCAAUGUCCUAAAACUGAAUCUUUUGCUUGAACCAGUGUUGGUCUGUUGACAGAAAUGAAACUGAAAAGACUUACGGGCUGAAAAUGCUGAGCUCUGACUUGUGUAAUACAUUUCCUGUUGCCCGCUUUCAUUCUGGAGGGUUCGGUCAGAGAAUGCUCAGGAGGAGCUCUGAGUAGUGAAGUGAUAAAGCUGUCUUGUUUUUGUGCCUUCUCAUCAAGCUCUUCUAG